GAUGAAGAACGUAGCGAAAUGCGAUAAGUAAUGUGAAUUGCAGAAUUCAGUGAAUCAUCGAAUCUUUGAACGCACCUUGCGCCCUUUGGCUAUUCCGAAGGGCAUGCCUGUUUGAGUAUCAUGAACACCUCAACUCUCAUGGCUUGCUGUGAUGAGCUUGGAAUUUGGGGGUCUUGUUGGCUUGUGAGCCAGCUCCUCCUAAAUGAAUUAGCUUGCCGGUGUUUGGUGGCAUCACAGGUGUGAUAACUAUCUCCUCUUGUGGUUUCCCAUCAGGUAACCUCCAGUGAUGGAGGUUCGCUGGGGCUCAUAAAUGUCUCUCCUCAGUGAGGACAGAUUUUGACUGUUUGAUCUCAAAUCAGGUAGGACUACCCGCUGAACUUAAGCAUAUCAAUAAGCGGAGGA
rnacentral:misc_RNA from 1 species